CAUACUGCCGUGAAUACGUUCCCGGGCCUUGUACACACCGCCCGUCACACCAUGAGAGUUGGAAAUACCCGAAGCCUGUGAGCUGACCUUUUGGGGGGCAGCAGUCGAAGGUAGAGCCAAUGAUUGGGGUGAAGUCGUAACAAGGUAUC
rnacentral:rRNA from 1 species